UGUGUAGGAUAGGUGGGAGGCUAUGAAGACGUGACGCCAGUUGCGUUGGAGCCGUCCUUGAAAUACCACCCUUGUAUGUUUGAUGUUCUAACUUAGACCCGUUAUCCGGGUUGAGGACAGUGCCUGGUGGGUAGUUUGACUGGGGCGGUCUCCUCCCAAAGAGUAACGGAGGAGCACGAAGGUGGGCUAAUCACGGUUGGACAUCGU
rnacentral:rRNA from 1 species